GUCUCUGUAGAGCAAUGGAUAGCUCCUUGGACUUCUAAUUCAAAGGUCAUGGGUUCGAAUCCUAACUGGGAUG